rnacentral:tRNA from 1 species
GCCCCGUUGGUCUAGCGGUUAGGACGCCGGCCUCUCACGCCGGUAUCACGGGUUCGAAUCCCGUACGGGGUACCC